rnacentral:rRNA from 1 species
GAUGAACGCUGGCGGCAUGCUUUACACAUGCAAGUCGAACGGUAACAGGUUAAGCUGACGAGUGGCGAACGGGUGAGUAAUGCAUCGGAACGUGCCCGGUCGUGGGGGAUAACGCAGCGAAAGCUGCGCUAAUACCGCAUACGAUCUGAGGAUGAAAGCGGGGGACCGUAAGGCCUCGCGCGAUCGGAGCGGCCGAUGUCAGAUUAGGUAGUUGGUGGGGUAAAGGCUCACCAAGCCGACGAUCUGUAGCUGGUCUGAGAGGACGACCAGCCACACUGGGACUGUGACACGGCCCAGACUCCUACGGGAGGCAGCAGUGGGGAAUGUUGGACAAUGGGCGCAAGCCUGAUCCAGCAAUGCCGCGUGCAGGAAGAAGGCCUUCGGGUUGUAAACUGCUUUUGUACGGAGCGAAAAGGCUCUCUCUAAUACAGGGAGCUCAUGACGGUACCGUAAGAAUAAGCACCGGCUAACUACGUGCCAGCCGCCGCGGUAAAAC